rnacentral:rRNA from 1 species
GAUGAACGCUGGCGGCGUGCCUAAUACAUGCAAGUCGAGCGAACAGACGAGGAGCUUGCUCCUCUGACGUUAGCGGCGGACGGGCGAGUAACACGUGGAUAACCUACCUAUAAGACUGGGAUAACUUCGGGAAACCGGAGCUAAUACCGGAUAACAUGUUGAACCGCAUGGUUCAACAGUGAAAGACGGUCUUGCUGUCGCUUAUAGGUGGAUCCGCGCCGCAUUAGCUAGUUGGUAAGGUAACGGCUUACCAAGGCAACGAUGCGUAGCCGACCUGAGAGGGUGAUCGGCCACACUGGAACUGAGACACGGUCCAGACUCCUACGGGAGGCAGCAGUAGGGAAUCUUCCGCAAUGGGCGAAAGCCUGACGGAGCAACGCCGCGUGAGUGAAGAAGGUCUUCGGAUCGUAAAACUCUGUUAUUAGGGAAGAACAAAUGUGUAAGUAACUAUGCACGUCUUGACGGUACCUAAUCAGAAAGCCACGGCUAACUACGUG